GAUGAAGAACGCAGCGAAAUGCGAUAAGUAAUGUGAAUUGCAGAAUUCAGUGAAUUAUCGAAUCUUUGAACGCACAUUGCGCCCGCCAGUAUUCUGGCGGGCAUGCCUGUUCGAGCGUCAUUACAACCCUCAGGCCCCCGGGCCUGGCGUUGGGGAUCGGCGGAAGCCCCCUGCGGGCACAACGCCGUCCCCCAAAUUCAGUGGCGGUCCCGCCGCAGCUUCCAUUGCGUAGUAGCUAACACCUCGCAACUGGAGAGCGGCGCGGCCACGCCGUAAAACACCCAACUUCUGAAUGUUGACCUCGAAUCAGGUAGGAAUACCCGCUGAACUUAAGCAUAUCAAUAAGCGGAGGA
rnacentral:misc_RNA from 1 species